UCUUCCUCUGUGUUCGCUAUGGCGUCUUGUACUUCUACCCAACGUUGCCCCUCAGCCCCCCAGCCCCCGAGCUCACUGCCCUCGGCCCGCAUCUCCGGAUGCUUCCUCCGGGACUGCGGGAUACGGAGCCUGCCGCCUAGGAACCCGAUUUCUCCGUCUCGUCCAUGGAAGCACGGGUCAUAGUGGCCGCAUGCGCAGUGCUAACUCAGCGGCCCGCGCCUUUUGACCGGUGUGUGCUGCAGGCUUGGGGGUGAUGGGAUCUGCUGUUGUGGUGGAGAUUGUGGUGAGGAAGGAGACCAGAAGAUGACGACGACAAUGACACAGCAGAAGGGCCGGGUUACACUUGGGCUUCUUUCUUUGAAGUCUGAGAAGACAGUCUGUCAGGCCGAGCUCAUUACACUAAGGGUCCAUGUAACCAGUGAAGCGGCCAUUAUACAUGAUUUGGUCUACAGUUGUUGGAAAAGCUCCACAAGGGGAUCUCCUGGAAGCCAUUGCAAUCAGAGCUAGAGUCAAAUCAAGGCCAGCCUGGGCUACGUGGAAGAACCUCAUUUUGGAAAAGUGAAAUGCUUAACAUGCAAUUGGUUCAAUGAC